ACAAGGUAUAUCGAAAACAGGAGUGAUCAUUGGUAUCCGGCUCCAAUGAUUGUAAUGAGAGACGUGGAAAACAUGAACGGGAUAAAAUGGUCCGUGUGGCUCUCACACACGAUGAAUCACCAAGACAUGGGAGAGAGAUGGGCGAGAAGAGCUCUUCUUAUCGAAGAAAUGGUGAAAACAUUCAGGGAACUCGAUAUCCAGUAUCGUAUGCUACCUCUCGAUAUCAACA
rnacentral:misc_RNA from 1 species